AGGAUGAGGUUAUUAAAGCUCGUCGGCCUUUGAAACUGUCUCGCAAAAACACUCUGCACCCCAAAGAGAGCGUCUAUGACCUCCUCAGAUUCGGAUGCAGCGAAAACGAUCUCUGGUUGAAUGCUCCAGCUUGCAUUCGCUCCCCACCUUAUGCGACCUUGUAUGGCAUUGAAGAAAGUAGAAACUUGCUCCGGGAGGACCGCAGAAAACUAAAAAAAUCCCUGGCAUCACCUUUAAGUUGGUAGUCCUCUUUGAUUAUUCCUAUCGGCUAUCUCGUGAUCUAACUAUCUAUUAGGACUGAAGUUAAUCGUAGUUAUGAAGCUUUUGUUUAACACUAUCAAUCCUAGUUCUGAAGCUUUUGCUUAACAUAUUAUGUUAAGAUCGGUUUGUUUAUUUCCAUGUAUUAAGUAACUAAUUGGGAUCUAUAUGCUAUGGUUAUCUACCUUUUUG